rnacentral:rRNA from 1 species
CCUACGGGAGGCAGCAGUGGGGAAUAUUGGGCAAUGGAGGAAACUCUGACCCAGCGACGCCGCGUGAGGGAUGAAGGCCUUCGGGUUGUAAACCUCUUUCAGUAGGGAAGAAGCGAAAGUGACGGUACCUACAGAAGAAGCACCGGCUAACUAUGUGCCAGCAGCCGCGGUAAUACAUAGGGUGCAAGCGUUGUCCGGAAUUAUUGGGCGUAAAGAGCUCGUAGGUGGUUCGAUACGUCGGAUGUGAAAAUCAGGGGCUCAACCCCUGACCUGCAUCCGAUACGGUCGAGCUAGAGUUUGGUAGGGGAGACUGGAAUUCCUGGUGUAGCGGUGGAAUGCGCAGAUAUCAGGAGGAACACCGAUGGCGAAGGCAGGUCUCUGGGCCAAUACUGACACUGAGGAGCGAAAGCGUGGGGAGCGAACAGGAUUAGAUACCCUGGUAGUCCACGCCGUAAACGGUGGGCGCUAGUUGUGCGAACCUUCCACGGUUUGUGCGACGCNGCUACGCAUAGACGCCCGCCGUCGGGAGGUACGAGUCGCGAAGAAGUUAAACGUAACGUAAAGGUAAGUUAGUUACGGCGUGAGACGUGCCGACGGACGACGACGAGGGAGGAGG